CCCUUUUUGGCAUUUUGUGGAAAAUCGUUACUGCGCGCUCAAUAUCAGUCCGAUUUUCAUCAAAUUUUCACCAAAUGUUAGCAAGUGCAUGCAAAAUAUGAUGAAGUUGUAAAAUUGACAAACAAUAAACUAAUGUAAGAAUUAUUCAGGAAAAUCUUAAGUCGCGGUACCUUUACGCUUUUGAGUUAUGUUCCUGCUGGUUUUAAGAUAUAUUUAUGAAAAUAUCAUUUUUAUACAGUAAAAUAGUUGUUCUAAAAAAUUGUGUUCGGAAAUUUUUGUUUAUUUCUUCAUUCCGCUGAUAUGGCGAUUUCUUUGACGACUGCAAUAUAUUUCUGAAUUGUUUGAGUGAAUUGCUCUUUAUUAUUAAAAUAUCCAAAAUUAAAAAAAAGCCGAACACAAUUUUGAAACUGACGUCUUUAGCUAUGUCCUGUGAAAAUUUGAGAAAAAUUUGUUAAAACCCGCAGGAGCAUAACUCGCUUGAAAAUCAGUAAUUGCCGUAAAAUUCUUCGGGAGAAAAUUGAAUUUGAAUAUUACAUUUUCAAUGUUUUUCUUAUUGCAAGCGAAAUGUAUUUUAUUAAAUUACUCUGCGAGUUUUCAACAUUUUUCGUCCAAACUUGGUCAGAUAGUAGAACUAGUCUAAUGCUUUCAUGCAAACCAAUAAAAAAAUUUUAGGCAAAAUUAACACUCAAAGGUGUUCUGUAACCUUAAU